rnacentral:rRNA from 1 species
UACGUAGGGUGCAAGCGUUGUCCGGAAUUAUUGGGCGUAAAGAGCUUGUAGGCGGUUUGUCGCGUCUGCUGUGAAAUUUCGGGGCUCAACCCCGAACUUGCAGUGGGUACGGGCAGACUAGAGUGUGGUAGGGGAGACUGGAAUUCCUGGUGUAGCGGUGAAAUGCGCAGAUAUCAGGAGGAACACCGGUGGCGAAGGCGGAUCUCUGGGCCGAUACUGACGCUGAGGAGCGAAAGCGUGGGGAGCGAACAGG